rnacentral:rRNA from 1 species
UGGGGAAUAUUGCACAAUGGAGGGAACUCUGAUGCAGCGACGCCGCGUGAGUGAUGAAGGAAUUCGUUUCGUAAAACUCUGUUCUAUGGGAAGAAAAGGACUGUACCAUAGGAGAAAGCUCCGGCUAAAUACGUGCCAGCAGCCGCGGUAAUACGUAUGGAGCGAGCGUUGUCCGGAAUUAUUGGGCGUAAAGGGUGCGCAGGCGGCUUUACAAGUUGGAUGUGAAAUAUUGUGGCUCAACCACAAACGUGCAUCCAAAACUGCAAAGCUUGAGUUAAGGAGAGGUAAGUAGAAUUCCUGGUGUAGCGGUGGAAUGCGUAGAUAUCAGAAGGAAUACCGGUGGCGAAGUCUACUUACUGGACUUAAACUGACGCUCAGGCACGAAAGCGUGGGGAGCAAACAGG